AUGGUUUUGGCUUCUCUCCGGGCGGAUUCCUCCCUCCCCUCGUCGUCUUCAUACGAGGAUGGACGCCCUACCUGCCGAUGCUCCCCCAUAUAUACCCCGCUCCUCCAGCCCCACACCACCUGCCGUCGCCGUCGCCGCCGACAAGCCCCUCCUCCGCGUCGCCGACCACCACCCGAGAUCCGCCCUUCCCCGAUGACCAUGCCGGUGGCGCAGGACCCCGUCGGCGCGGGCGCGGACGCCGCCUCGUCCCGCCGCAACCGCCGCCGCCACAAGAAGUCCUCCUCCGCCAACGCCAACGCCGCUGCUUCCGCGGUCCCUGUCCCCGCCCCGGCCCCGGCGCCGCCCACGCCGAUGCAGCGCCUCUUCGACACCAGCCGCGAGGUCUUCACCGGAUCCGCCCCCGGCUUCGUUCCCCCGCCGAUGCCGUCGUCCGCCUCUCCGCAAUCCUCAUUGAAAGAGUUCAUUCUGGGCAGCCGGAGGCGUACGAGUUCAAGAUCGGCGACAAGUUUUUUCGGAGGUCCGGAGACCCACCCCUGGACCAAGUUAUCGAGAUGCUACAGAAGCACAAGGAUAAGUCUCAAGAUGAAAUCUAGCUAG
rnacentral:rRNA from 1 species